UCUAACAAUAUCACGAACGUCACCUAACUCCUUUUGUAUCAACCAGAAAUCUCUUCCCAAUAUGGCUCUUCGAAACAGAAAAACCAGAUCUAAACCGAUUUCAGAAACGUAAUGGUUUUCUCUCAACUUGUAGAUUGAGUAACUAACUGAGAUUACCUCGUGGUUGAGAUCCGAAAGUUGUUGUGUCUUCCUUGCAACGAGAUCUAUCAAUCCAACUUUAGUUCUUUGUCUAACACUUUUGUAUUUGGUCGCAAUCUUCUCUCCAAAAUCCCAACUUGGCACUGAUAUCUCAGAGUAACUGCAGGCUGCGUUGUCGGUUAUUUUGGCAGAGCUUCGCCGUAAAAAUUGUCUCUCCCUCUCCUCUAGGUCGUGCCCUCAAUAUAUAUGUAGAAGAGUUUAUGGUUCAGAUCAUUCAAAAUUAAUAAAAUACAUUUUUUAUGAUUUUGGCUUAAAACGUGGGCUUUACGUUGUUUUAAAAUUUGUUGGGUCUGGGCUGUGACACAGUAAAUAAAGAGAGAACUCGUGAAAAGGUGCUUGCAAAUUUAAAACUGGUUAUUUAUCAUGUUCGUGUAAGGUGGAUCAAAGGCUCACUAGUGCGGACUAGGCCUGGGCAUAGUGACUUAUACCCGAACCUGACCGAAGUAGGAAGAUCGGUUCGGAUACGGUUAGUGCUAAAUAAACCAAUCGGGCUUCAUUCUGAGUAAGUUUGGAUAUCCAAACCCUAUCUGUUUAUAACCGAUACUCAAAUAUAUACUAGAAGGUACCCUAUCUUGAGGUAAGAUGCAGAGGAGAUGCAAGAGGCGGUGGUUGUCGUUGCUAUGAAGUGAAUUAGGUUUUUGGAGGAGAAGAAAGCGUACCAUGAUUAGAGGUGGGAUUAGGUUAAUGUGAUUCGAGGUUUGGGCCGAGGGAGAUAAUAUCGUGAUGAUGAUGAAGGUUUUUAUGCCGGCGGGAAAAGAUAUCCGGUGAGAUGAUGGAUCAAUGAAGAAGAAUCAUCAUCAUCCUGAACAUGGAAAUGAUCAAAGACAGAGUCUGAGUCUUGAACGUUGGGCUUAAAACCCUUAAAAGCCCAUUUAACAUGGAGUUAGUGUUUAUACUUAAUUUUGUUCAUCAUUAAACAAAUAGCUAAAUGAUCCAGUUGUUUUUUUUACUAAACUCAAUUGUUUUUAAACGAUUUAUUCUUUGUGAGUUCAAGUAAAAUCACAUACGGUGGUGUUGUUGUAUGAUGAUGAUUCAAUCAUUUUAUUUUAGUUUACUAGGUUUUUGGUCACAAAGUUUAGUUUACAAGUUUAUAUAUUAUUAUGUAAUGUGGUCCGUCGAAAAUGAAGCUCAAAACCAUACCGAAUUAGAGGUUUCUCAUCUUAGACAAUACGGUUUUUGGUAGAUUGAAUUUGCAGAAAAUAA
rnacentral:lncRNA from 1 species